rnacentral:lncRNA from 1 species
GGUAAAGAAAAGUGCUAUUUUUUAUUUGUUCUUUCUUGAAUGUAUAGGUCCUUUUAAGAUCAGUGAUACUUUCCUUUAAAAUAUCCUCCCUCAUGCCCCUACCGCUUUGGAUCCAAUAGCCACUCCUAACAAGGGUCUAGGAGGAACUCAUCCUAAAUAGCCAAGAAAGGGGGUACAGCUUGAGGAAUGGGCAUAUGGCUCAGGAAGCAGCACCAGCUGAUAAGAACUUUCCUCAAAGCAGCUCUGUUUGGCUUGUGAGUCCCCUUUCCCUGCCCUGGUCUGGACUCCCCCAGCUGUGUCCUACCCCUGGAAUUCCCCUGUUCCUUAUGUGGCCUGAUCUUUAGAGUCAAAGUCAUAAUUAACAUCUUUACAGCUGGAGAGCUGAGAGAUCACUGUUCUCAGCCAUUCUUCCACUACAACUUUAUAGAUGAGGAAACUGUAUCCAAGGUCAUACAGUUCAUAAUAGAAAGAGCCAAAAAUUUUGGUGUUCAGACUCUCAAAUCAGGUAUCUUUCUAGUAUGUACCUCCUUACCUCCAAGAAAGCAACCAAUAGCUGCCUCCAACUCCAGAAACAACUGGAGCAAGCAGCUGGUGGUGAUCAGCACAGGUGGAAAAGGCCCUGAUAUAGGGAGUCAUGCUGACUCCAUCUGAGCCCCAGCAAAGGAGGAGCCACCACACUCCCUAGUCUCCCUCCAUCCCAAUGGUAGCAGCAGACACCCACCCUGCCAGGUUCUCCCCCUGGUUAGCAGCACUGACGUGCAUGGAAACAUGUCUUACCACAAUCCCAGACUCCUUCUCAAUUGCAGCAGGCUCUAACUGGUGCAGGAUCAUGGCGAGGAGCUGCCCACCAGUAUGGUAAUCCAGUUUAGCCAGACUGCAGCCUGGAUGCUAUAAAACCUAAUCCACACCCUCGGGCUGACUUAGAUGGGGUCUCUUAGCAAACAUGGCUAAAAUAUCUGUGUCGUCUGGGAGAGACAGAGGGAAGGACUCACAGAUGCUGUCCUCCCAGCAGGAGCUCAUAAACAUGCUUGGCAUGAGGAGAACUGAGUUCAGGAAAAGGAAGGGACACAGGAAAUAGACAGACAGAGGAAGCAGGAGCAGCUGUAAUUCUUCCUGCCUACCCAACUCCUGAAAAGAAGAGACCACAAACAGCCACAGACAUUUCCCCCUGUCUAGGUUUCAAGGAUGGCUCAGCCUGUGUGGGCUGAGAGGUAAGAGGAGAGAAUCCAGAGACUUGUUUUUUUGGAUUCUCUGAGAAUCCAGAGACUUGUGGUGUCAUAAAAGCUAAGGGAGGAGGUUGUUUCACCGAGGGUUGGUGGGUGGGGUGAAAUGCUGCAGAGAGGUCAAGACAGCUGAGCACUGAAAGGUGUUCAUUCUAUUUGGCAACUGGGCAGUCACUGGUGACUUUUAUGAAAAAGUGUAGAGGGCUGAAGAAAAGCUGAGGAAGAAUCAGUUUAAAAAGCUUCUUUUUUAAAGUAACUUGGCUAACAAGGAAAAUGUGUAAGGGGUAACAGACUCUGAGAAAUGCUGUUUUAAUCUUGGGGAGAACUUGUUUGCAGGCUGUGUGGAGGUAACCAGUGGAGACAGAGGCUGGAGACUCCAGGGAGUGGGAGCAGUGAACUAAGCGAGGGAGCAGUCUUGGAGGACAUACAACAGUAUUCAAGACAGACAGAACUAAAUAGGAGCAAGAACGGAGGGGAUGGGGAGAGUUACAGACACAGAUGAAUGAGAGGGGAGAGAGGAGCAACGGGCAAGGAAGGUCUUGCUUUAGGGGCUCUCUUCUGUGAAGUAGACAGUGAGCUCAGUCAUUUGCGGAGGGCAAAGAUGGAGGCAUGGCUGGGGGAAAAAAAGGGUCACAACAAGUUGAACUUCCAGUCAAUACUGAGAGCUCAACUAAGGCUGCCAACUGUGAAUCUGUCAUGCUUAGCAGCCCAGGAGGUGGAAGCAGCAAAUAGGAUGAUGACGAAAAUGGAGAAUGGCUUAUAGUUUUAGCAAAAAUUGAAGGGGAUAGGACUGGCGCAGUGGCUUAUGCCUGUAAUCCCAGCACUUUGGGAGGCCAAGGGAGGCAGAUCACGUGAGCCCAGGAGUGUUGAUACCAGCUUGAGCAAUAUGGCAAAACUCCAUCUCUACCUAAAGUAGAAAAAUCAGCCAGGCAUGAUGGCAUGCACCUGUAGUCCCAGCUACUCAGGAGGCUGAGAUGGGAGGAUCACCUGAGCCCAGGAGGCAGAGGUAGCAAUGAGCCGAGAUCAUGCCACUGCAAUCCAGCCUGGGUGACAGAGCGAGACUCUCUCUAAAAAAAAAAAAAAAGAGAGAAGUUGAAGGGCAUGAGAAAGUUCAGGAUGCUGAUAAAAACAUCAGUGUGUGAUAGGGUGUGAUAGGCUCUGAGUUCAUGCUGGGGAGAAGAAGAAGUCCAGGAGAAAGCUAAAAGACAAGAAGAGGAGAGAGAGGGCUGAUGUCAUGGAAAUGGACUGAAGGAGCAGAGCAAUGUUGGCAGUACUGAGGAAGGGAGAAGAAGCCCAGGAGGUGGCGAUCCAGAAGGAGCAAAGGCUCAGUUCAGGAGUUCAGAAAGGAAAACUAUAAGUGACUCCAUGGAGUGAGACAGGGAGCAGAACAGAGCCCAGGAACAAACAAGGAGGUGCCUUGGUCUUAGGAGCCAGGCUGUUGCUAAAAAUGGGUACAGGGAGGGAGCCAGAGCCCGCCGGGCUGGAUGGCAAGGACUGCCAUGGA